rnacentral:rRNA from 1 species
AACGAACGCUGGCGGCAGGCCUAAAACAUGCAAGUCGAACGAUGUAGCAAUACAUAGUGGCGCACGGGUGCGUAACGCGUGGGAACAUACCUCUAGGUGCGGAACAACGUCUGGAAACGGACGCUAAUACCGCAUAAUAUCUACGGAUCAAAGAUUUAUCGCCUAGAGAUUGGCCCGCGUCUGAUUAGCUAGUUGGUGAGGUAAUGGCUCACCAAGGCUACGAUCAGUAGCUGGUCUGAGAGGAUGAUCAGCCACACUGGGACUGAGACACGGCCCAGACUCCUACGGGAGGCAGCAGUUAGGAAUAUUGGACAAUGGCGAAAGACCUGAUCACGCACUGCCGCGUGUGUGAAGAA